rnacentral:rRNA from 1 species
GAUGAACGCUCGCGGCAGGCCUAAUACAUGCAAGUCGAACGAGAUUACGAGGCUUGCUUCUUAUGAAAGUGGCGCACGGGUGCGUAACGCGUAUGCAACCUACCUUAAUCAGGGGGAUAGCCCGAAGAAAUUCGGAUUAAGACCGCAUAAAAACACAGGAUAGCAUUAUCCAAUGUUCAAAUAUUUAUAGGAUUAAGAUGGGCAUGCGUGUCAUUAGCUAGUUGGCGGGGUAACGGCCCACCAAGGCGACGAUGACUAGGGGAUCUGAGAGGAUGACCCCCCACACUGGUACUGAGACACGGACCAGACUCCUACGGGAGGCAGCAGUAAGGAAUAGUGGUCAAUGGAGGGAACUCUGAACCAGCCAUGCCGCGUGCAGGAAGACAGCCCUCUGGGUCGUAAACUGCUUUUAUUCGGGAAUAAACCUUUCUACGUGUAGGAAGCUGAAUGUACCGAAGGAAUAAGGAUCGGCUAACUCCGUG